GCCGCCGCGCUGUGCCUCCGUUUCUCCGUCUCUCUGUAUUCUCAUCUAAAUCUGCCCUAGGAAUUGCUGAGAUCCAAUCCGAGCUGGUAAGCAUAUGGAUGAAGAAAGGGAUUGACGAGAAUAUCACAAAGGUGCUCCACUUCGUAGGUAAUACACGAGCUUGAUACUACUUUUUAAAUUAAAAAGUCUCAGAUCUGGGUGGGGUGAAUGGUUGUGCUUGCGCAUGUAUACAACAAGUCUGCUACUACUACUUGUGAAGUCGUGAUAGUAGAAUUCUAGUAAUUAUACGGCUAAUGGCUGAUCACUGUUUCUAGUAUUCUAUCCGAUCCAUCCAUUGUCUCUGUACUGUAUUCUAUCCGAUCCAUCCAUUGUCUCUGUACUAUAAUUUCUAGCCGAUCACUACAAGCCGAUUAAUAGAAUAUCUAGCUGGUCACUAAUUGCUAGACUUGUUGUUAAUGAUCGGCUAGAAAGUCUAGUAAUUAGACUGCUAUCUUACUUAUGUGCUUUACUUCCUAAUUAACACUACUCUUAUUUUUCGUUUUAUUUAUUUUAGGGCAAUCUGUCGAAAGUACCCGAUGAUGUCCGAGCAAUGUUCCUGAAGCUGUUACAAUGUCAGGAAGAACAGAGUGAUGCAAAGAAGAGGAAGUUAGAACAGAUAGCAACUGAUACUCAUGAAGUAAAUGCCAUAGAAGAGAAUGACCAAGAUCAUGUUGGAGAUCAGCUGGCAAACUAGAGUAAAACCCAGACAACUGUGAAUCAAUUCUACAAAAAACUUAGUGAACUAUUUACUAUUGUCCGCUCAGGCUGAACCAGCAUAUUUGUGACUAUGCCCUUUAAUGAACAUAUAUGUCGGAGACCUAUGGUUUAUGCUGAAUUCUACUUCUGUUUAUGAGCUUAUCCUAUAUAAUUUUA
rnacentral:lncRNA from 1 species